AGGUGGGCAGGAAUUCUAAACUCUCACACCUGCACCACCUUGUCAAUAAUAAUAAACCAAUCACAUUUCUUUUUUUUCAAAUAAAAAUAUAAUAAAAAUAUUUUUUUAUAAUCACGACAUAUGUCUCUAAAAAGGGAUAUUUAAUUAGUUUGUUACGCCACGUCACUAAUAUAUCUGGUGUAUUCUAGAAUUUUUCUCCGGUGGGCCGCAUUGGAAGGUUGCAAAUGUGUCUCGAUGUCCAACCCGGUAGAAAAUGUGGCUCCAUGUCCAACCCGGUAGAAAGAAAUAAUUGCGUGCACCCAGUGCCCGUACGUAUCGCACCACACACCUAAAGGGCGUGUUUGGUUCGAAGUCGAAAUCUGAAUCAGAAUCUGAAUCGACAUAAGUUGAAAUCGGAAUCGGAAUAACUCAUUACCUAAUUUUAUUUGAUUCAUCACUUGAAUCAGAAUCGGAAUAAAUCAUUCUCAUUGUCGGUGUUUGGUUCAUGUAAAUAUAAAAAACGUAAUCAAAUUAAUAUACUAAAUUUAUCUUUAUAAUAUAUUAAUUUAAAUUCAAAUUAAAAAUUAAAUAUUAAAAUUUUACAUCAAAAUUUUAAAUUUAUUUUUUUAAAAAAAUUAAACUUAGAAGUUGAGUGGAUAAUUCAAAAUAUAAAACUAAAUUUCGAUUUAUUCAAAUUCAAACUUAAAAUUAUAAUUAAAAUUUUAAUUUGAAUCCAUAAAUUUAAUUUAAGUUUUAAAUAAAAUUUUAUAUAAAUUAAAAUUUAAUUUAAAUUCAAAUUCAUAAGUUAGAUUCGAAAUACUUCAUUAAAUUUUAAUUUUUAAUUCAAGUUCAAAUUAAAAUUUAAAAUUAUAAAUUUAAUUUAUAAAUUUAAACUCAUAUUUUAAUUUAAAAAGUUGAAAAAAAAAUUAUUCCGAAUAAAUAUCAAUUCCGUCUGGAUUCAACUUCCAAUCCGGCCGGAUUGGAAAAAGAGGCGAUUUGGGGAUUCUCAUUUCACUCGGGAAUCGAAUCGGAAUGGGACUCCAGCAUACCAAACACCCACAAACAGAUUCACCCAUUCUGAUUCCGAUUCCGAUUCCGAUUCCGCUGUGAAAAAAGCGAACCAAACGUGCCCAAUAUGUAAUAACCAAUUAAUUAUCUUUUGGUUCAGUAGGACUGCGUUUGGAAGAAGCCCUAGAACCUGCCUUUUCAAAAGGGAUUGAUCAUGCAUUUGCCCUGAAAGCAGAACUGGAUUUAGAACUACUCGAUUAAAACUAUUUAUUAUCGUUAUUCUUAGGGAUGUCGAUAGGUAUGGAUACCCGAAAUUUUAUCCGAACCUGAACCCGAAUGAAACGGAUAUAUCCGAUGCUAAAUGGAUAUGGAUUCGGAUAUGGAUAUCAAAAAUAGAAACCCAACGGAUAUGGAUUCGGAUAUGGAUUUUGACUGUACCCGACCCGAACCCGAACCCGACUCGAACCGGAAUUUAUUUUGUAUUAUAUAUAAUAUACAUAUAUAAAAAUUUGAUGUUAUAUUUGAAUUUGUAUUUUAAAAAUUUGGAUUUAAUAUAAUAUAUUUUGAAAUAUUGAAAAAAGAAAUAAUUAUUUCGGGUUCAAAUUUUCAGGUUCGGGUUUGGGUUCGGGUUUCGAAUUUUUUGUCGGGUUCGGGGUUGGAUAUAGAUUGUUAAUUUUUUUUAAAAAAAAAUAGAUUUAAAAUUUUGACAUUAUUUCAAAAUUUUGAUGUAAAUUUUUAAUAUUUAAUUUUUAAUUUGAAUUUAAAUUAAUAUAUUAUAAAGAUAAUGUUAGUAUAUUAAUUUGAUUACAUUUUUUAUAUCCACCUGAACCAAACACCGACAAUCGGAAUGAUUUAUUCCGAUUUCGAUUCAGGUGAUGAACCAAACAGAAUUAGGUAAUGAGUCAUUCUGAUUCCGGUUCCAGCUUAUUUUGAUUCUGAUUCCGAUUCCGACUCCGACUUUGAACC
rnacentral:lncRNA from 1 species